rnacentral:rRNA from 1 species
GAUGAACGCUGACAGAAUGCUUAACACAUCAGCAACUGAUUGGUGUGGGACGGGUGAGUAACGCGUAAAGAACUUGCCUCACAGGUAGGGACAACAUUUGGAAACGAAUGCUAAUACCUAAUACUGUGAGAGAGCUUUGCGUCCCAUUAGCUAGUUGGAGAGGUAACGGCCUACCAAGGCGAUGAUGGGUAGCCGGCCUGAGAGGGUGAUCGGCCACAAGGGGAGUGAGCCAGUGCCAUUACUCAUGCGGGGGGCAGGAGUGGGGAAUAUUGGAAAAUGGCGCAAAGUAUGAUCCAGCAAUUCGGUGGGCACGAUGAAGUUUUCGGAAUGUAAAGUGCUUUCAGUUGGGAAGCGGUACCAACAGAAGAAGCGACGGCUAACUACGUGCCAGCAGCCGCGGUAAUUC